rnacentral:rRNA from 1 species
AGGUUGAUAGGUCAGAGGUGGAAGCGUGGCGACAUGUGGAGCUGACUGAUACUAAUCGAUCGAGGACUUAACCAAG